CAGCGGCGGUGCAUCUACGGAGAGACCGAAGGCGCGCGUCCCGGUGAGAGGCGGAGAGAGAUGGCUGGAGCGUCGGAGGCGGUGGCGAAGGCGGAGAAGCUGAUGGAGGAGCACAUGAGUGGGAACGACUCGUCCCACGACGCCUGGCACGUGUUCAGGGUCAGGGAUUUGGCCCUCUCCCUCGCCCGCGAGGAGGGCCUCGAUGCCCACCCGGGUUCCAUGGAAAUCGUCCGUAUGCUUGCUUACGCCUGAUCUCUCUCUCCCUCUUUCUUCGGUCUCACUCCGCCUCUGCCGUUUUCGACUACCCUUUUAUUUUUUCCGGCGGAUUCGUUCUCUUCUGAGGGUCUUUGUUGUGUUCGGUGAAGUAUCUGCAGAAACGAGAGCGACCCACCACUUAAUUGGUCCUCUUGAAUUUGCUUUGAGUGGCGUUGAAUUCAUUUGUCUAUCUGGUUCUUUACAAUCUGUGAAUUGUGUUGCAGGUGGAGCUUGCUGCACUUCUUCAUGAUAUCGGUCAGCAGCUCUCUAUCUCUCUCUCUCUCUCUCUCUCACACGCGCGCACGCACGCGCGCACUUGAAGACUGCAUUUUUACACAAUCAUGAGUAGGAUAACCGGUCUGACUUUGACAUUCGUGCUCUUUUUCCAACUGGGGAGUUAAGGGGUUGAACUUAAAAUGCUGUGGUGGCUAUGCUUUUUUUUUUUUUUUUUUAAACCUCAAUCCAAGUCCUGGUAUUAGCCUCGAUUUUCGGAGCUCCCCCGUUUAUUCCCCCGUCUCUUCCUGUUCCUUUCUCCGUCCUCUCUUCGCCACUCUUCCAAGCUCCCUCCAGGGUAACUUUUUCUUUUUUUGAACUAACUCCUGCGCACGCACAUAAUUAACUGUGGCAUUGCUUUCAUGUGCUUAACGAUCAAUUUUAGGAUAUUCCACAAUUUAUGUUGAGAAAGAACUUAUUUUUAAUAGUAGUUUCUCAUUGCAGGUGACUACAAGUAUCUAAGGUCUGGAUUUACUUCUUGAUCAGCCAUAGAAGUAAGAUUGCACAGUAUUGUUCUGAGUGUGAUUGUUCACUGAGAACCCGUCUUUGCAUCAUAUGGAUACCUAGUAUGUUUGCUCAUCAUAUGCAUUUCAUCCUUGAGUAUUAUCUCAAGCUUUGUCAUAUAUGCAACUAAAGGAAAGGUAUGGGUAUGUUGCAAUGCUUUUUGUUUGCUAUGCUAAUAUAUUAUUGUUUCUUUUCUCUAAUUCAGUGUUUCACUUUUGCCAUCCGUGUUUCUGUAUUUCCAUGUAGAGAUCCAUCUGAGGAGAAGAUUGUCGAGAAUUUCCUUGAGGAACAGGGAGUGGAGGAAAGCAAGAAGAUCAAGAUCUUAAAGAUAGUAAGGGGAAUGGGUAAGGGUUUCUUUUUCCUUCUCGACAGUUAUAUAAGAAGGGGAAUGGGUGAUUUUUUUGGAGUUUUUGAUUGCUCUACCUUUAGUUGACUGUGUCUUUGUCAAUUCAACUCAGUACAAUUAUGUGUAUGACGCUUAAAUAUGUAAAUUUUCUGCGCAUGAUGUUUUGUGGUACGUGCUAUGCUCGCAGCAUGAGACAUAGACCUUUUAUCUUAUUAACCUUGGUUUGUGGAACGCCUACUCUUUUUCUGGAAAUGUCAUCAUGAAGCUGUGAAAUGGUUUAUUACAGCCUCAAUAUCAAAUAGUUAUAUCUGCAGAUAGAAAAACAAUUAUUCCAUUGGAGGAGGUUUCGUUGGUAAUCAUAUCAUGCAGGAAGAGAUUGGACUGUAGUACCUAGAUUAAUAGACCCCGCCUAGAUUAAUAGACCCCGCCCAUCGAUUUAUGGUUGCUAACAUGAAUAUGUUGUCCUUAUUAUAUAAACAUGUUCUUCAGUGACUCGUACAAGUGUAGGUGUGGCUGGAAUUAUGGUUUGUGUGUAUGGGUGCUAUAGUAAAUCUGGAGAUACUUGUAAUUAAAUUCAGAGCCUUAUUAGUUUUGUGUCGUAUAAUUUACUCUGUUCGGAGAGAGAAGAAAAGCAUAUUUAUGGCUCAUCAGAUUAUUCAUAUGGUUUACCAGCAGUUUAGCAAGUCUAGUAGCACUUAAAUAGUUUAUUUUCAAAGACCCUCUUCGAUGGUCAUAUCAUUCCAUCAAUUAUUUUUUAUUUAAACAUCACUACAUCAAGAUUAUCCUUUUGUAUCUUUGGAAUUGGGAAGUCCACUAGAAAUUACAUAUCCAUUUAUUGGUGUGAAAACUUAUAUGACAGAUUCUGGCAUGGUCAGGUUUCAAAAAUGAGAUUAAGGGGCUUGCAGAAACUGAAGUAUUUCCAGAAUUUGGGGUCGUGCAGGAUGCUGAUCGUCUUGAUGCCAUUGGGGCCAUAGGUAAAAAUAAAGAAAUCUUGAGUAGUAUUUCCUUGAUCUUACCUAUUCAUAAUCAUUUGUCUAAUUGAAUUUUAGUGUUAGAAAUUCAGAAAUUCAGAAAGUUGAAUGAUGCCAUGUGAUUUUUAGUGAUACAAGCUAGUUGUUUGUCCUUCCUUGACUGGUUUUCUGAGCUGUUCUUUUUGCUCCAUUCACUUCUCUGUCUGUGACUGAAAGAAAAAAAGCACACCUUGUCAUGAAAAUUAAUGCAUAUUUGUUGCCUUCUAACUGCAUCUGUCCUUGUACUGGUUUUGAGAUACUUUAUGACGUAAGGUCGUGUGCAGGAAUAGCUCGUUGCUUCACUUUCGGGGGAAGCAGAAACAGAGUUCUCCACGAUCCUGCCAUCCAGCCACGAUCUGUUCUUUCCCAGGAAAACUACAUGAAAAAAGAGGAGCAGACUACCUUGAAUCAUUUUUAUGAGAAACUUCUGAAGCUGAAAGAUUUGAUGAAAACAAAGGUAAAAAAGUUGGGUUUCCUGUAUAUAGGGACCUAACUUUUGUUGGUAUUCGUUUUUGUAGUUAUUCCACAUGCUUGCUCUUCCCAAUGGUUGCUACAUUCUUUUAAGAGCUGAUAGAUGACCAUUUAAAAUAUACCUUCUUUCUGAUUGUGUGGGGCUUUUUGAAACGCUUAGGCUGGACAAAGGAGAGCGGAGAAGCGGCACAAGUUUAUGCUCGAGUAUUUGGAAGAGUUCUACAAAGAGUGGGAUGGGCAAGCCUAGAUUGGGUAACUGAUUCUCUUUUGACAGAGUUCUUGGGUUUUAGGACAUUCAGAUGCACAGCAUUUUUAUUCUUGAGGUUGGUCUUUGAUGUUGUUACCAUGGAACUGCAGGUGAUACUGAAGAGGUACUAUCACCAUCACCAUUUCCAAUGGUUUAGCCCUUAUGGAUUACAAUACCGAAAUUUAUCUAAAGUAGAGAUCCAUGGUUGAAUCCAGUUUUAGCAAGUCAGUUGUUAAUGCAUUGUAAUCAUAACAUUUAUCACCUACUAGCUUAUUUAAUUCUCUUACUAGUAUGCUGCAUUUGUUAGAAUGUCGUUAGAAUUCCGGUCAUGGUUGCCCAUUUCAUAACUAUUGCUAUGUUUGCUAUAACAAAAGAUGGAAUGCCAUCUAGAUUGCAUUUCGUCGAAGAUGAGACAUUCUCUAAAUGAGCUAGAGAUCGAUACCAAAUCACGACUCACGAGCAGUAUGGGUUUCAUAGGGAUGUGAAUGAUUCUAUGCUGGAUCAUUUGCUCUUCUUUUUUUUUUUUUCGAAGCCAUUUCAUCUUGAUGAUUGUUUAGGUCUUUGAAGAGCAAUUUUAUACACACUUCAGACAUAAAUGGCUAUAACGGGGAAAGCACUGCAAGAGACGGAAACGAAGAUUGUAUUGCGAGUAUAAUAGCGUGAGAAGUUGGGAGCUAGAGAAAUAAGAUGUUUGUAGUGUUGGUUCAGGGGUUAAGUCAUUAGAUACCGAAGACUCUAGAGUUAAAUUAUAAGCAGUGAAGACUAAAAAUGCUACAAUUCUUUGAAUAACGUCCGUUUGUUGUCAUCUGAUUUAAAAACUUAGGUUUGUCAUUGGUAUGUCGAGUAAUUAAUUCAUACCGCUUACAUUUUUUCAAUGGUAUAGCGAUUAGUUGGUGUCCGGACCAGCUCUUAUUAUAUACCUUGACUAGUCCGCCCUUUUAGGUGGUCUUGAGAGCGCACUCCUACGCAUGGUGCCAUGCAUUAGAGUUUUUUCAAUCAAAAAAUUCCAACAAGAUUUGAACCUCAAAUUACAAGAAGAGGAGCACACUCUUUUUGUCAUCUAUUGUCACGUAAGUCAACAACUCGUUGGUUCCACAAAAAAAUAACAAAAAGAAGCACCUUGUUGGUGGACAAAUAAGCCGUCAUAACCAAAUCUUUCAUAUUUAGCUUUUGCAAUUUCACAAAUUAAAAUAAUUUAAUCACAUGAAUAUACCGGUAUCAUAUAAUUAACUAGGACGGACACAUAGUCGAAUUGCGUGUUCUAUAAAAAAAUUAGGACACUUUUACAAGAAUUGGACCAUUAAUACACACUUUUGCGGGAAUAGAUUCAUUUGUAUUAUUAAUUAUUUUAAUUAUCCAGAUGUAAUAUGCAAUAUCAUUAUUAAAAGUAUAUCCUUUCGCUUUUGAAUAUUAAUAUAUACAAAGUAGAAAAGGUAAGAUGUUAAUUUCUAGGGUUGGUGCAAUUGAUUGGUAGGUUAGGAGAUUUCAACUUAGGAAUUAGAGGUCAUUUGUCGAAUUGAUAAAAUUAUAAUUGGGCAUUAUGGAAAUCUUUCAUUCUUAUUUUCAUGGCGUUUUAAGCUUGAGAGUGUUCCACGGAUAUCAUAGCUGUGAAAAAGGUACACUUUUAUUUUGAGGUUGUCGAUUCUUAGGAAAACUGGAAAAUGCAUCUUAAGCUGAAGUUCUCAAUUAAUCGCAAGUUUUUCCAUGAGAGAGAGAGGGAGGAAAAGUGGUGCACUUAACGGCCCUUUUCGGUUAAAUUUUCACUGCUUGAUAUCAAGGUAUUCAUAUUCAGGCAAAGCGUAACUAAAAUACUUCUAGAUCCACAAAUAUCAAUAGCAAUGCUUUCCACGGAUGUUUCUUAACUAUUGAAUGCCUUUGUUAGCUUUGUUUAUUUUUUUUGGUCGAACCUUUGUUAGCUUUAAAAGAGAAAUCUGUGCGUCCCAGCAUCACACGAGCCUGGGAGUAUAUCUUCAAUUGCUUGCGCCUUGAUUAGCCAUGUGCAUAAGGAAAAAAAAAAGGCCGGCAUCCACGUUGGUAAUUUCUAAUCAAAAUUGAAUAUAUGAACUCAAUUGAUAAUAAUGCAAUAUGUUUAUGACUGAAUUGAUCCAAUGAAAAUGUUUAUGAUUGAACUGUUUCUCUAAUGUAAUAUGUUUCAAAAAAAUUUUGGUACUUUUCGCAAAAUUCUUGAGGGAAAAAAGUUGACCUUUUGCUCAAUAAGUCACAUAUCCCAAAUGCCAAAAUUCAUGUCAUCUUAAGAUCUGAAAAGGGUUGGGUAAAGUUCAAAGUUCUAGGAAUUGGGGCAUCGGCUAUAUUUUCCUUCACCAUUGGACGAAGGUUAUUUCCCUUAAUUAGGUCUUUUAUUGGUAUAUCACAAAUUAUAAAUAUCAUUCACAUACAAAUUCAAUUAAAAAAUUUAUGGGUGAUGCCUACGUUUAUAAAGCAUCGACCAAAUGACUAAAAUAUCAUCCUUAGAAAUUUCUAUGUUAGAUUUUUGGAAAUAAUUCAACCCUUGGUGGUACAAGAAAAACUGUAAAUGUGAGUAUUAAAAUUUUCUUUCGGUGUGACUGACAUUAAAAAAAUAUGCAUAUCAGAUUCUAACCCCACAAGCGCAUGUGUUCGUUCGAAGGCACUCCAGGUUUGAUAUGUUCUCGUUUGUACCAUGGGGUUUGGCGGCCGGGUUAUCAUCAAAAUAUCGAGAGUGGGUCGCGGCAUUCUUCUCUGUAGGAACGUUGUUGACGUGAAAAUUCUUUUUUUUACAUUCAUUUUUACUGCAUAAAAUUGAUUUCUUAUCAAAUGUUUGGUACAAUCUUCUCUCCUGGCUGCCGUAGAAUCAGGCAGGGAAUAAGCAAGUUAUAUNNNNNNNNNNNNNNNNNNNNNNNNNNNNNNNNNNNNNNNNNNNNNNNNNNNNNNNNNNNNNNNNNNNNNNNNNNNNNNNNNNNNNNNNNNNNNNNNNNNNAAAAGGGGGGUUUAAAAUUUUUUUUGGGGGGGGGGGCCCAUAAAAAAAAAUUGCUUUUUUUUUUUAACCCCCCAAGCCCCCCCCCCCCCCCCCCCCCCCCCCCCAAAAAAAAAAAAAGGAAGUCGAGCAUGCCAUGUUUAUCUUCAAAUCUUUUUUUUCCCUUCGUUGUCAUUGUUUUGGUGCUGUUUUGAUGCGAUUGAGGAUAAGAUUUGAUUUAAAUGUUAAAAUUGGAAGGGUUUUUGCAUUCGUCGAAUUGAUAACAUGUUAUUUCCUUUUAAGUAAUUAAAUCGGAUCUAAAUUCUAAUCCAAUUCGGAGUCCUUGCUUACCAUUACUUAAACACUAUCGGCCCACACAUCCCUUUCCGAUUCUGUCUUUCCACGUUUGCUCGAGCAAAGAUCCUCUACUUCUAAAACCGACCCUGACCCUGACCCUGCCGGCUUGGUCUACGGCUUCCCAACGAACCCGCCGCAGCACCGCCCCGGAAGCACCGCACCGUGCUCAAAUACCGGACAUGGGGGUUGGUCGAUGCUGUGCGGUAUGCUUAUACGUGGCGCUUCUUGCUGGACUCGCGGCCGCCAGUCUCGCACUUUUUUAUCUCCAAGAGAAAAGAGAUGCGACUUCUCGAGCGCGAGUUUUCGUGUCCGGCAUGUCCCUCUCUUCCUUCGAGGUGACGCCGUCGUCUCGUCAAUUGAACGGGACUUGGCACAUCGAUUUCUCGCUGCUACACAAGGGCCCGAAAGUCAAGUGUUUCCCAUGCGGCAGCGCCGCGGUCUCGGUGCGUUACAAAGGCACGUACCUGGCGGGGGUGACUCUUCACGCCUUCCGUGUGCCUGUGAAUCAUCUGAUUCCACUGGAGGCGAAGGUCGAUGCAUCCCGAAGCGACGCGCCGGGUUGGCUCGCCCGCGAUCUCAUGGAAGCUAGGACACUUGGCGUUGUGGAGUUUGAGGUUCAGUUUGUCACUAAAUAUUACACAUGGCAUAAUACUUAUCUGUGCAGGGGUUUGAGGUUAGGGUUUUCGACGGGGAAAGAAGCUAAGCUUAUCGGUGACGAUCACGUGAGAUGCCCGUUCAUUGGUUAGAAUAGAAGAAAUCGACGAGAAGAAGUUUCUCUUGAUGGCUAGAUUUCAUUAUGUUUUCUUUUUCAUGUUUCAAUAACUUUUGAUUGUUUUGUUCUAAUUAGUUCCGGGAUGAGCAAAGCAUGUCAUCAAGUCGCAGUGUUAAGCUAACCUGCAUCUUGGAUAGGGAUAUGAAUGAGUCAAAAGUAGAUUUUAGUUGAAUCCAUGAUGGUCUUUUAGUUAAGCAAUGUAAUCUUUUGCUUGAUGUUAUCGAAUUUUUCAAUAGUAUCAUGAGACCAACCCCAUGCAAUCAAGCCAAUUUUUUCAGCAAAUAUACCAUUAACGAAAGAUAAAAAAGAAAAAGUUGAUAAAGCUCAGACUUGCUCGACAACGAGUUGCACGGCCAAUUGCAUGUUUCAGACUGUUUAUUGCUCUAUAAAAUUGGGCUCCUCCUGUUAGCUGCAAUCUCCACGGUGUUCGGAUAUUUCGCUCACGAUUUAAUUAUGCCUCCGAAGUGAGAGUACCGAAGUCGAGCCCCGCCAGAGUGGAGAGAUUGGCUUGUCACCAUGGCCUCUCGUCCAAUCAUUCGAGCCUCGCCAGAGUGGAGAGAUUGGCUUGUCACCAUGGCCUCUCGUCCAAUCAUCCUCGUUUAUAUGGACGGCGACAAGGGAGCUGAGAAAGAGAUGAAGUCGCAAUGGGAGAGAAAGAAAGGGGAUAGCCGCGCUCAGCAGCCGGAGAAGGGGUAGGGGUGACUGCGAGUGGCUUGAGAUGGCAACUCGCGGGUGAUGUUGGGUGACUGACAACACACGGGCGAUGCAGGUCUGAGAUCUAGUAGGGUAGAGGGGAGAAAGAAGAUGUGGAAAGUAAAUGGGUAAAUCGAGAAUACUAAUAAUGCCGGUGAGGGCAAGUUUGGAAGCCAAAAUUCAUUGAAUUUCCAAACUAACAUUCUUAAAAUACUGAAAACCCAAAAUCACAUGUAAGUUAUCUUGAGUUUUGAGUAUUUUCAAAUCUCAAUUUGGAACCAAAAACCAUUAAAAUUGUUUUGUCAAACACCAAGAUUUGGUGCCGAGACAUUUCGAGACCCAAAAUUAAUUGAAAAUGAUGCGCCAAAAGUAGCCUUUGUCCUAAAUAGACCUUUAACCUUCACCGUGUCAAGAAGGUUGAAGAAAUUGAAAUAGUGGAAAAACACAAUUUUGUAUGCGAAUGAUAUCCAAGGCUGAAAGUUGUCUUUUAUCAAGAUCGAAAAUUUUAUUUAGUUAGUUAUCAAGUAACCAAGUGUCAUGUUAGGGUUCCCUGAUCAAAUCCAAGAAAAGAUAGAGGAGAAUUAGUUUUGUGCCCUAUCUGAAUUCUGGUCAUGGUUGCCCAUUUCAAAACUGUUGCUAUGUUUGCUAUAACAAAAGAUGGAAUGCCAUCUAGAUUGCAUUUCGUCGAAGAUGAGACAUUCUCUAAAUGAGCUAGAGAUCGAUACCGAAUCACGACUCACAAGCAAUAUGGGCUUCAUAGGGAUGUGGAUGAUUCUGUGCUGGUUCAUAUGCCUUUUCUUUUUCCUUCCCGAAACCGUUUCAUCUUGAUAAUUAUUUAGGUCUUUGAAGAGCGAUUUUAUACACACUUCAGACAUAAAUAGCUAUAACGGGGAAAGCACUGCAAGAGAUGGAAACGGAGAUUGUGGUGUGAGUAUAAUAGCGUGAGAAGUUGGGAGCUAGAGAAAUAAGAUGAUUGUAGUGUUGGUUUAGGGGUUAAGUCAUUAGAUACCGAAGAUUCUAGACUUAAAUUAUAAGCGGUGAAGACUAAAAAUGCUAAAAUUCUUUGAAUAACGUCCGUUUGUUGUCAUCUGAUUUAAAAACUUAGGUUUGUCAUUGGUAUGUUGAGUAAUUAAUUCAUACCGCUUACAUUUUUUCAUUGGUAUAGCGAUUAGUUGGUGUCCGGACCAGCUCUUAUUAUAUACCUCGCCUAGUCCGCCCUUUCAAGUGGUCUUGAGAGUGCGCUCCUACGCACAGUGCGAUGUAUUCGAGUUUUUACUAUCAAAAAAUUCCAACAAGAUUUGAACCUCAAAUUACAAGAAGAGGAGCACACUCUUUUGUCAUCUAUUGUCACGUAAGUCAACAACGCUUUGGUUCCACCAAAAAAAAAAAAGAAGCACCUUGUUGGUGGACAAAUGUAUAAUUAAGCCGUCAUAACCAAAUCUUUCAUAUUUAGCUUUUGCAAUUUCACAAAUUAAAAUAAUUUAAUCACAUAAAUAUGCUGAUACCAUAUAAUUAGCUAGGAUGGACACAAAGUCGAAUUGAGUGUUCUAUCAAGAAAUUAGGACACUUUUACAAGAAUUGGACCAUUAAUACACACUUUUGCAAGAAUAGAUUCAUUUGUAUUUUUCAUUAUUUUAAUUAUCCAGAUAUAAUCUACAAUAUCAAUAUUAAAAGUAUAUACAAUGUAGAAAAGUAAGAUGCUAAUUUCUAGGGUGGUGCAAUUGAUUGGUACAUCAGGAGAUUUCAAUUUAGACAUCAGAGGUCAUUUGUCGAAUCGAUAAAAUAAUAAUUAGGCAUUAUGAAAAUCUUUCAUUCUUAUUUUCAUUGCAUUCCAAGCUUGAGAGUGUUCCGCCGAUCCCAUAGCUUUGAAAAGGGUACUUUUAUUUUGAGGUUGUCAAUUAUUAGGAAAACUGGAAAAUGCUUCUUUAGCAGAAGUUCUCAAUUAAUCGCAAGUUUUUCCACGUGAGAGAGAGAGAGAGAGAGAGAGAGAGAGAGAGAGAGAGAGAGAGAGAGAGAGAGAGAGAGCAAAAGUGGUGCACUUGACUGCCUUUUUUGGUUAAAUUUUCACCGCUUGAUAUCAAGGUAUUCGUAUUCAGGCAAAGCGUAACUAAAAUACUUCUAGAUCCACAAAUCAUCAAUAGCAAUGCUUUCCACGGAUGUUUCUUAACUAUCGAAUGCCUUUGUUAGCUUUGUUUUUUUUUUUUUUUUUUGGUCGAACCUUUGUUAGCUUUAAAAGAGAAACAUCUGUGCGUCCCAGCAUCACACGAGCCUGGGAGUAUAUCUUCAAUUGCUUGCGCCUUGAUUAGCCAUGUGCAUAAGGAAAAACAAAAAAGGCCGGCAUCCACGUUGGUAAUUUCUAAUCAAAAUUGAAUGUAUGAACUCAAUUGAUAAUAAUGCAAUAUGUUUAUGGCCGAAUCGAUCUAAUGAGAAUGUUUAUGAUUGAAUUGUUUCUCUAAUAUAAUAUGUUUCGAAUUUUUUUUGGUAUUUUUCCCAAAAUUUAAGAGGGGAAAAAGUUGACCUUUUGCUCAAUAAGUCACAUAUCCCAAAUGCCAAAAUUCAUGUCAUUUUAAGAUCUGAAAAGGGUCGGGUAAAGUUCAAAGUUCUAGGAAUUGGGGCAUCGGCUAUAUAUUCCUUCACCAUUGGACGAAGGUCAUUUCCCUUAAUUAGGUCUUUGAUUGGUCUAUCACAAAUUAUGAAUAUCAUUCACAUAUAAACUCAAUUAAAAAAAAUUAUGGGUGAUGCCUAUGUUUACAAAUCAUUGACCAAUUGACUAAAAUAUCUUCCUUAGAAAUUUCUACAUUAGAUUGUGAGAAAUAAAUCAAUCAUUGGUGGUAGUAAUGAUUAAAAAAACUAUAAAUGUGAGUAUUAAAAUUUUAUUUUGGUGUGACUAACAUUAAAAGAAUAUGCAUAUCAUAUUCUAACUCCCGCAAAAAAAAAAAAAGGAAAAAAAGAAGUCGAGCAUCAAUGUUUAUCUUGAAAUCUUUUUCCCCCUUCAUUGUCAUUGUUUGGGUGUGUCUAUUUUGAUGCGAUUGAGGAUAAGAUUUGAUUUAAAUGUUAAAAUUGGAAGAAUUUUUGAAUUCGUUGAAUUGACAACAUGUCAUUAUCUUUUAAGUAAUUAAAUCGGAUCUAAAUUCUAAUCCAAUUCGGAGUCCUUGCUUACCAUUACUUAAACACUAUCGGCCCACACAUCCCUUUCUGAUUCUGUCUUUCCACUUUUGGUCGAGCAAAGAUCCUCUACUUCUAAAACCGACGCUGACCCUGCCGGCUUGGUCUACGGCUUCCCUGUGAACCCGCAGCCGCCCGCCCCGGAAACACCGCACCGUGCUCAAAUACCGGACAUGGGGGGUAGUCUAUGCUGUGCGGUAUGCUUUUGGGUGACGCUUCUUGCUGGACUCGCGGUCCUCGCAUUUAUUUUUCUCGAAGCAGUAAACUUUCCGACUUCUCCAGUGCGAGUUUUCGUGUCCGGCAUGUCCCUCUCUUCCUUCGAGGUGACGCCGUCGUCUCGUCAAUUGAACGGGACUUGGCACAUCGAUUUCUCGCUGCUAAGCACGAUAGGCGAGUCUUUCCCGUGCGACAGCGCCGCGGUCUUGGUGUAUUACAAAGGCACGUACCUAGCGGGGGUGAAUCUUCACGCCUUCCUUGUUCCUGGGAAGCAUCCGAUUCCACUGGAGGCGAACGUCGAUGCAUCCCGAAGCGACAUGCCGGGUUGGCUCGCUCAUGAUCUCGCGGAAGCCAGGACACUUGGAGUUGUGGAGUUCGAGGUCCAGUUCGUCCCUAAAUAUGAGAUAUGGCAUCUUACUUUCUUGUGCAGGGGCUUGAGGUUAGGGUUUUCAACGGCGGAAGAAGCUAAGCUCAUUGGCGACGAUCACGUGAGAUGCUCGUUCAUUGGUUAGGGUAGAAAAAAUCGAGGAGAAGUAGUUUCUCUUGAUGGCUAGAUUUCAUUAUGUUUUCUUUUUCAUGUUUCAAUAAAUUUUGAUUGUUUUCUUCUAAUUAGUUCCGGGAUGAGCAAAGUAUGUCAUCAAGUCGCAAUGUUAAGCUGACCUGCAUCGUGGAUGUGGAUAGGGAUGUGAAUGAGUCAAAAGUAGAUUUUAGUUGAAUCCGUGACGGUCUUUUAGUUAAGCAAUGUGAUCUUUUACUUGAUGUUAUCGAAUUUUUCAAUAGUAUCACGUGACCAACUCCAUGCAAUCAAGCCAAUUUUUUCAGCAAAUAUACCAUUAACGAAAGAUAAAAAAGAAAAAGUUGAUAAAGCUUAGACUUGCUCGACAAUAAGUUGCACAGCCAAUUGCAUGUUUCAGACUGUUUGGUGCUCUGUAAAAUUAGGCUCCUCCUGUUAGCUGCAAUCUCCGCGGUGUUCGGAUAUUUCGCUCACGAUUUAAUUAUGCUUCUGAAGUGAGAGUACCGAAGUCAAGCCCCGCCAGAGUGGAGAGAUUGGCUUGUCACCAUGGCCUCUCGUCCAAUCAUCCUCGUUAAUAUUGGAUGGCGACGAGGGAGCCGAGAAAGAGAUGAAGUCGCAAUGGAAGAGAAAGAAAAGGGAUAGCCGCACUCAGCGGCCGGAGGAGGCAACUCGCGGGCGAUGUUGGGUGACCGACAACACAUGAGUGAUGCGGGUCUGAGAUCCAGUCGGGUAGAGGGGAGAAAGAAGAUGUGGAAAGUAAACGGGUAAAUCGAGAAUACUAAUAAUGCCGGUGAGGGCAAGUUUGGAAGACAAAAAUCAUUGAAUUUCCAGAUUAACAUUCUAAAAAUACUGGAAACCGAAAUCAUAUGUAAGUUUUCUUGAGUUUUGAGUAUUUUCAAAUCUCAAUUUGGAACCAAAAACCAUUAAAAUUGUUUUGUCAAACACCAAGAUUUGGUGCCGAGACAUUUCGAGACCCAAACUUAAUUGAAAAUGAUGCGCCAAAAGUAGCCUUUGUCCCUAAAUAGACCUUUAACCUUCACCGUAUGAAGAAGGUCAAAGAAAUUGAAAUAGUGGAAAAACACAAUUUUGUAUGCGAAUGAUAUCCGAGGCUGAAAGUUGUCUUUUAUCAAGAUCGAAAAUUUUAUUUAGUUAGUUAUCAAGUAACCAAGUGUCAUGUUAGGGUUCCUGAUCAAAUCCAAGAAAAGAUAAAGGAGAGUUAGUUUUGUGGCCUAUCUACAUUCCUUGUUAUUGAAUCGGGAUGUUUUUGACCCGCACGUUUACGCCGAUGUUUCAGGAAUCAUAAUUUCUAUGCACUUUAACGUUCGUAAGGUCAAAUUCUAUAGAUUUGAUAGGUUUAUUUAUAAAUGUUGAGAUUUAAUCACGUCAGGCAAUUUAAUUUAAUUUAAUUUAUUCCUUUAAAGGAUAUGUCACCAUACACAUGUACUUUGUUAUAAGCCCUAUCGGAUCCUCGAAAUUGUAGGGCGAUCGUUUUCCACUAUUUCAAGGAGCAAUGACAUGUGCAAAAAAAAAAAAAAAAAAGGAGCAAUGACAUGAACUGAGGGAAAGCAUUAAUUGGAUAAAAGGGUGUUUCAUUAGGCUACGUGGGUGGGUUAAAUGUCACGCGGACUUGUCUCACGUACGGUUUAUUAUAUAGGGGGUGAGGUUUAUUUGGCUAUGCUAGUAAGCUGUUAGGCUGUGUUUGGUAGUUCGGAUUUGAGUCAGGAUAGGAUAAUUUGUUAUCCUAUCCGAUGUUUGGGAAUGUCCCCCGGAUCGGACAAACUUGGAUAUAUCCGGAUAAAACGCCGGAUAAAAAAUCCGGGGGAAGGGGUGGGAUAAGCCCGGAUUGGAUAAGAUGUUUUUUUUAAGGAAAUAAAGAACUUAACAAAAAGAGAAGAUAUCACUUGCCGUUUUCAAUGGUGGCCACUGCGGAGGUGGCCACAAUUCCUAGAUCUAGGGUUUUUCCAUGGCCUUUAAUUAAUUGAAUUUUCUAUUUUUUAAUUUUAUAAUUUAAAUGAAUAUCAUAUUUAUUUUUUAAUCUUAUCCUGAAGUGCACCAAACACUUGAUAGGAUUAGAUAUGUCCGCCUUUAUUAUCCAAAGGAUUUAAUAGCCUACUUUAUCCUAUCCUAUCAUGAUUAUUAUCCGAACGACUAAACGUAGCCUUAGCAUUCAGCAGUGGAAUUUUGCGUCGGUCAAAAAGAUAUAUAGCUAAGCUCCCACUUUUAUUUUUAGGGUUUUACUUCACACUCGACAGAUAUUCACGGUGCAGGCCUAUCGUGUCAGGGUCAUUUGUCACUUCCACUAACGCGUCCCAGACCUGCGAACGAAAAGUCUCUAUUGCCCGUAUGUUCAGGACCCUUUCGGUCCCAUGAAACUGAUUCUUUAUUCAUUGUUAAGGAAAGGAGAGCAUGGUUAGUUUACAUAAUUCUUUACUAAUAAAGAAACCUUGCGGUGCAAAAAAACAAAAGAUCUGUGGCUCUUUGAAGGUCUAAUGAAAUGAUCAUUUUCAAAUUUUACAAAGAAAUGUUGAUCGACAAAGCGUAAUGUACUCAUAACAUGUUAAAUUUUAUAAAAUUCAUUCAUUACAAUUACAUUUGUUAAAACAUAACCAUAUAUGUUGAUUUCUAAUUUUUGGCGACCCAAUGUGCAUUCAUCACGGCCCAAGCUACUGCUCGUGUGCGACGGCAGAAUUAAGCCAUCACUCAACCUUAUAAACUCAUUGCUUGAGAUUGACUAUCCUGAAAAAUCCACCUGUAAGCGUUUAUGACCCCGACGACCCAUGGGAUUUUUUCGAUCUCAAACUAAUCCGGAACUGAGAUUGAGGAUCAGAUCAAGUGUGACGGAGCUUACGACGUGAUUGUGGCAGGGAGAAACAUUGGAAAGGAAUCAGGCGGUUAACAAUUUUUUUGCUAUUUGGAGCACUCCGGACUCAUCCCUUUUAGUUUUACUCAAUCAAUACAACCAUUUUACCCAAAAAUCAAAAUCAAAAUCAAUACAACAAUUUCGACCAAAAAAAAAAAUCAAUGUAAUCGAAGCACACCACACCACACCUCAUGCAAUCUGUGGACAACUAAAUUUUGUCCUUUUAUUUAGGACAUUUCUAGAAAAUUAGGUUUUUUUUUUGGUCAGAAGUAAUAAUAUAUUGAGCUAUGAGCCGAACAUUUACACAAGAUUUGACGCCACAAAACUUGCACUCAUGAAGACAAUAAGUCUAAACAAGUGGAAGGAAGCCGGAUGCAAAAGAACUCUGCAAGAUCAGCCAAAGCGAAAAAUAGCCUAAGCAUCAGGCACACGAGGAAAGAGGAGGCCACGCAUGGCCAAAAAGGAACCCAACCUCGACAAAACAACCAACACAAAGGACAGACAACAAAGAAAGAAAAUAGUCACAAAACACCAAGGAGGGGUCACCGCCGUAGCCGAACAUCAGCCAAACCAGUCAAGGUGAACACGGCCCCAGCCGAAGGAAGAAGGCGGAAGGCCUUCAUACAGCAAGCACCCGAGAAGACAACGGCCGCGGCCCAACCACAAACUGUCUCUGAACCAUUCCAAAGAGCACUAAAGAUCUGCUGGAUGAGGAGAGAAGAUGCAAGGAUCUAUCCCCCAGUUACGCUGGAGUCUUCUGUUUCUUGGAUUAUCCUCAACGUUUCUGAAAGUUAAGGCAUUGUCUUUCACCACUUUGAUGAGAUGAUUUUUAACCGCCACAACUACGACCGUGUGAUCUCUAAAGAGAAUGUUGUUCAUGUACCUCCAAAUAAGGUGGCAAAUAGCAUCAAAAGAAAAGCGGCCAAUGGAGCGAUAAAAGUCCUUAUCGGAGAGGAACUUCAUCGCCCACUGAAGGUUUUUAAAUCACGUCUUGUUUUGCCAAGGGAGAUUGCAUUUAGCCGCCCAAAAGAAAGCCAUGUUGGCAGUGAUGCGACACACGAAGUAGAGAUAAUCGAUGGAAUUCUGCGCCAGCCUACAAAAAGCACAAACCUUUCUCCCAAUUUUGCCAUGCGACAUAAGUAGGGCUUGGGUGGGAAGACGGUUCUUUAUAAUAAGUCAGAGACAGAGAUUGAAUUGAUAUCUCGGGGUGAUAACCUUAUUCCAAAUAAAGGAUGCCCAAUUAACCCUAUCCUUCAUUCUUAUGAUAAUAUGCCAAGCCGAGGCAACCGAGAAUGGACUAGAAGUGCCGUCACUCCAAAUAAAGCGAUCCGGUUCUCUGGAGAAGAGAGAGAGGGGAUAAUCUCAAGAUUCAACUACUGUCUUGAAAUCUUGUCUCGCUAGUGAGAAAAGGUCCGCCACCGUGACAAAUCUGGAUAAACCGGAAUUUAAUAUCAUUUGAUUUGAGCAAAAAAGAUGUAAAGGAUCUCUCUAGUGCUAGUGAUCAAACCAAAAGGAGACUGACUGGCCAUCUCCAAUUCUCCAUUGGAAGAAGAGUCGAAACUCGGAUAUCAAGUGAAUGAUUCUCUUCCAAGCCCAAGAAUAAUAGGUCGGCGUCCCAACCAUCUAGAAACUCUUCCAUUUGAGGAAGGUUGAGUGGAUCCACUUGCACCAUAAAGACUCAUUAUCUAUAAACAUGAUCCAAAUGUGCUUGAGCAUCGCUGCCUUGUUGAAUUCUCGCAAUCUGCGAAUUCCAAGUCCUCCUUCCUCCUUUGGAAGGCACACAUCUUCCUAGGAUACUUUAGCGCCACCAUUUUCCAAGGUCGGCGCCCUUCUAAAGGAAUUGUCUAAGGAUCAGCUCAAUGCGAUCCAAAAGGAAUUGUCUAAGGAUCAGCUUAAUGCGAUCCAGAAUUGCAACGGGGAUGGUGAAAACACUCGCCCAAUAAGCUUGGAUGACAUGAAUGACCGACCUUAUUAGCUGAACCCUACUAGCAAAUGAUAGAAAAUGCUGAGUCCAGGAUUAGACCCUGGCCAUUAUAUGAUCAACUAAGGACACACAGUCCGCUUUGCCGAGCCUCAAGGAUAUAAUAGAAACUCCCAAAUAACGCACCGGCAACUUUCCUUCAACGAAACCAAGGGCAUCAUUGAUCUCAUUCCGUAACUCCUUCGAGCCACCUGCAAUAAAUAUCUCACUUUUGCUGUUAUUUGGCUUCAAUUCGCUCCAUGUCGAGAAAGUAUGUAGACCAUCUUUUAGAAGAGAGAUGGAACCCAUAUCCGUUCGACAAAAGAGAAAGAUAUCAUCCACGAAGAAAAGAUGAGAUAAUCUUGUAGCCUUGCAUCUCCAGAAGAAUUUGAACCCAAGUUGCGCCACACAUGCACUGAGGAUGCCUAAGAAGACUUCCAUAACCAAAGUAAAGAGGUAAGGGGACAUGGGAUCCCCUUAGCGAAGGCCACGUCCACUAGGGAAGAAGCCAUGGAGUUCUCCAUUCAAGGAAAUCGAAAACUUGGAGUGCGUACACAUACCAUAAUGAGCCUAAUAAUAUGGUUCGGGAAUCAAAACGCACGCAUGACCAUUUCAAGAAAGUCUUAGUCGACCGUGUCAUAGGCCUUCUGAAAAUCAACCUUAACAGCACAUUUAAGGGAAUACGACUGAAGAUGGAAACUAGCAAAUAAUUCAUGUGCAAGAAGAAUAUUAUCCUGGAUGCGACGACCCUUAACGAAUGCAUUUAGAGAAGGGCUGAUAGUGUCAUGAAGAACUGCGGCAACGCAAUUAGCUAAGACCUUGGUGAUACAUUUAUAAAUCGUAUUGCAGUAGGCAAUAUGUCUAUAAUCAUUGACUGAUGUCGCAUUAGGCACUUUAGGGAUCGGCACAAUGAUGGUGUUGUUAAUCUCCCUUAGAAGUCUCCCCAUGACGAAGAAGUCAUUAACUGCUUCAAUAACCAAAGGUCCUACUAGCUCCUAAUUGCUCUUGAAAAAUUCCACACCAAACACAUCUGGCCCAAGAGCCUUCCCACAAGCAAGGGAGAAGAAGGUAUCAUGAAUUUUACUAUCUGAGAAAGGACGGGAAAGAACAUUAAUAUGCUCCUCAUUGAGAGGGCAUCGAAUAACUUGCUGUAGGUCUAGCAAUGCAAGGCUAGAAGGAAGGGAUCGCGCAACGAAAAGCUCCUGAAAGUGAGAGAUGAAAGUGUUAUGCACUAGGCUUGGUUCGGUGACCAAGUUACCAUUCCUAUCAAGAACCGAAAGAAUCAUGUUCCUCAGCUGUCUUGUAGUGACGAAGUGGUGAAAGUACUCAGUAUUCCUAUCACCAUUCUCGAGCCAUCUGAUCAUAGAUUUUUUGUCUAAAAAAGGACUCAUCCUGACUCCUCAGCUCCACAAAGGUCUUCCGAUGAUUUGUUUCUAACUCUGCUAAGAGAUCAUUAGUUGCGUCCUGCUGUAGGUCAAGCUGGGCUAACCUAAAAGCAUUCUUGGACUCAACAACCUUCCCAGAUAAGUUGGAGAAAGAAUCUCUAUUUAGCUGCUUUAGCCGGCUUUUUAGGGCUUUCAAUUUGCUAACCAGCUUGUACAUAGGGACCCCUUCAGUCGGGGCAUCCCACAUUUGUGCCACAAUGUCCUAAAAGGAUGGGUGCUCCAUCCAGAAAUCAAAGAAUUUGAAAGGCUUCUUCCAAAAAACUAGUUGUGUCACUUUAACCACCAUAGGAGAAUGGUAAAAAAUUCUAGAAGUCAGAAAUGUUGCUUUCGAAUAAGAAAACUGAAAGCUCCAAUUGGUAUUCACUAACACCCGAUCAAUUUUCCUCGCCUUGCGAUUAGCCCCAAAAGACGUGGACCAAGUAAACCGAAGUCUAACAUACCUCAAAUCUUCUAGUUCUGCCUGAGUCAAACACUGAUUGAAAUCGUCAAAACAAGGCGGCCAGGCGUUAGAGCCCCCUAUCCUAUCAUAUGGGUCUUUGAUGGCGUUGAAAUCUCCAGCAACUAUCCAGGCCAAAUCCUAGACGCAAGAACUCAUCCUGAGCAGGUCUGCCCACAAAGGCCUACGUGAUAUAAACGUGUGCAUAGCAUAAAUCACCGAAGUGCAGCAACAUAAUCCAAACAUAAGAAGCUCCACUCUCUCAUGGAUCGCUUGCUUGUUGGAAGAGAUUAAUUCAAAAUUAACCAAAGUAGGGUCCCAACUAACCCAAAUCCUGCCUUAGGAGAAUAAUCAUAAUUGGCCAUCCACUUCCACCCAGCCAAAAGCCCAGCAGACAUGGAUUGAAAGAGAUGCUCUGGCACUUUGGUUUCCAAUAAGUCUAUCAUACAAAGGCUGUUAGAAAGAGCGAGUUUCCUGACCUCGGCUCUUCUCAAAGGGUCCAUGAGACCUCUAAUAUUCCAAAAUCUGAACAACAUAUAUAUAAUAUAGGCAACUACCGAUCUAGGCUAACGAAAGGAAAUGGAAGGCAAAGGAGCCUACCUCUGCUUAGGAGGCUUCCGGCGAGGAUUUGCCGGCUCUCCAGUCUUCACCUCAGUUCCCGGGUCGGGAGCUAAAACAAGCAAUCUCUCCUGAAUGGUUUCCACCUUCGUUGGGAGAAUCCUCUAGGGUGGGUUUGACACGCCGAGGGAGACAAUGUUGUCCUCAUCUGAGCAUUCAAAUGUGGUUGCAACCUCCGACUCCACAUCGAGCUCAUGGGAAGAAGUGCCUUGAUCUCGUUGGGAAUCAGCUACAAGGGAAAGGGCCACCUUUGGGGGAGCACUUGAUCCUCUAUGCAAUUUUUCGAGCAAGUCCGGGAGGUAACGAAUCCACAGUAGGAGCCUUCAGUGGACGGGUCUGAUCUUCAACCCUAGCGAUGGACGAAUUAGUAGCAGGUACCUUCAGCGAACAUGUCUGUUCUUCAACGCCAGCAUUGGACGAGCGGGAGGAUUCUCUAAUCCUGGAGGCCAACUGCUUCUUCUUUUUACCUUUCGCCUGCUUCCAAGGCUGCUCCGGAGAAGUCCGUGAUUCUGCAAUCACCGAAUCAGGAAUGCGGGCCAUUGUAGGGGUCGAGGGAGCUGAAUCGCCCAAGACCUGAAGGAUCAAUCAAGGCCUGUUGCAGUGUAGGAACUGUCACUUCAGCAACCGGAGCAGGGAUAGCAGUCUUCUGCGGAACUGAAACCACAACAGCCAGCGAAACAGGCUCGACCAGAUGCUACUUUGGAGCUCUAGUUUGUUCGGCGGGGUUGUGCACGCGGGGAGGAGGUCGACAGUUGUGCCCAAAUGCAUUACAGUCCGGGAAUUCAGCCGGCAGCCAUUCGAGAAACUCCUUUUAAGACCACUUCAGUAGUCUUGCAUCUCGACUGAUUUGUCUUGAUCUCCACACAAAUUCUAGCAAACGAGACCAUUUUCAUUUGGUUCGUUUGUUGAUCCACAAAUAGCGGUUUACCGACCACACUCGUGAUGGCACUCAUCGCCGGUAUUGUCCAACAAUCAAACGGUAAAUUCCUCAACCGAAUCCAAACCGGAAUGGAGGAUUGGUUUUCCCUCUUGAGGUCCAUGAGCGGCUACUAUUGCCUAAGAAUAAGAGGCACUCUAGCCACUGUGAUCGGACCAUCUUCUAGAAUUUUUUUCCAAAACACUAGGUCUGGAAUGUGGAGAAAUAGGAAUCCUUGGUUAUUGGCGAGGAUUUCCACAAGUUUGGAAUCCCACGCAUUCUUCAAAGAUUGCUUCAUGAGGGAGAAGGGGAGUUUCCUCCUCCCAACUAGGUAUCCCACCAAACAUUGAUGCCACUUUGGGUCCACUGUAUCAAGAGCUUCAUCCGCCAAAUUCACAACAGCUUUACCAUCAACAAACGUGGGAGGAACGUAGGAUAAAUCCGACCCUUUCACUGCAAGCCGAGCGACAUUUGCCCAAGAAUGUGCCGGGGCAUUAGGGUGACCACCUGGAGGAUGCACAGGGCGCUUGGAAGUAGACCGCUUUUGGCUCCUGCCUCUGGACCGGUGGGGGCGAGCAGAAGGCUCCAGGGGGCUUUCAGCUUGUUCUUCGAUUCUGUAGGACCGGAUGAGGAAGCCAUAGCCAUACCAGGUUGAUUUGAAAGAGAGGCAGCACCACGAGAGGGGUCUAGAUGCGCCUUAGAGAUAGAAGCCAAAUGACGAGCUGCUGAGACGAUUCCAGCCUCAACAGUGGUUGAAGACAUAUUCACAAACACUUGCACUGCACCCUGAACACAGCUAAGAAAAACACCAUCAAAUAUAGGGAAUCGAACAUGCCUAUCUUUAACGACACUACAUGGUACUACAGGGGCCAAUCUAGCAUUGAACUCAUAGCAGAACUCCAACAACAAGUGCGCCCAGAAAAAACACAAAGCAAAAUCGUAGCAACAAAAUCGAACCAACGAAAAUUGGGGAAGUAGCUAAUCUAGGAGAUCACCAAUUGGAGGGGCGUUGUAUAAAGCCUAUAUGACCUUAGCCACCAAAGGAGAAGCCGAACCACAUGAUAGAACUCCCUCAACUCACGACGGCCAGACUAGAUGCACAGCUUACGCGCACACCAGGAGCGAAGUGGAUCUCGAAAACUAAGCCAGCCCAGCGGAAAUCCUUCGAUGGGGAAGAAGAUAUAGGUGAGGGGGGGGGAACUCUUCCAAAAAUCAGCUCAUUCAACCCAUAGAAUCUCCCAAAUCAUGCAGAAAAUCAGAAGGAAAAACACCAGAUCCGAAACUGGAGAGCAGCCCACUCUAGGGCAGAAGAUAUCUUCGGAUGUAGACCAUCUUUAGCAAAAUCCUUCGGCGGAGAUGUAGAGGAGGUUGAGAUGAGACUUCCCUCCGAAAAUCAGCCCAUUUCGAUGGCUACAGCCACGGGAAACAGCUUCACACCACAUCGAUGAACAGUAACCACGAGUUGCGAAAAUGGCUCUGAAAAAUUAUGUAUUAGUCUCCAAGCAAAGAAAGAAAAAAAUAAAGUAAGUGAAGUAAAUAAUUUUCACUAAAGUGCAUCGUGUAUAUUUUCAUUAGAAUGCAUCACAUAUAAAUAUUAGGGAAAUUUGCAUUAUUAGUGUUAGUUAUUAAGUUUUUUUUAAAAUUAUUAAAAAAAAUUAAUUACUUAAAAAAGAGUGAAAAAAAAGGAAAAAAAAAUUGAAAGAAGAAAGAAUAGGGCUAGCCCAAGGUCGAACUGGCUUGGCCCUCCUUCUUCAUUUUUCCCAUUUUCUUCUUUUCUUCUUUUCCCACAUGCGUUGGCCCAUCUCUUCCUCUUUCCGGCCCAGCCCGUCCAUCUCUUCCCCUUCUCUUCUCUUCUCUUCUCUCUCAUUCGGGCAGAAGGGUGGUGACAAAAGCUGGGAGGACGUUGGCCGAAGGAUGACUGUACGAAGUGAGGAUGGCAAGGACGUUAGCAAUGAUUGUUGUACGCAAUGCCAGCGUAGGGAAUGUCAUGCGGUACGAGGCAAGCUAGCGUCGCACUAGAGGAGAUAGGAAAAUAACAGAGACUAGGAUAAAGGUAGAGGAGGCAACAUUCCAAGGGGGUUUUGGUUUUUUUGUUGUGGAGGGCUCAAAAAAGGGUUUUUGGAGAAAUUCGAGAGAGAGAUAUCCGAGAGAGUAAGGUCAAAGGAGUGUUUUGGCCAUCGUCGAUCAUUCAUUCGUGACCUGCUGUACAUCUUCAGCCUUUCACGUUGAACCAGGUAGGUCUCUUUAACAAGUGUUAGCAAUAAGUUUUUAUGUUAUUUUUUCAGUAUUGCUUAUACAUCGUGCGUCGACCCUAGGUCGAACCCAAGCCUCGAAACCAACCUAGGUUGCCCUUUUAGCUAGUGCAUACCAUACGUUCGACAAAAUACCAUAUGUUGCCAUUUUUGUAUGAUUUUCAUGAAACAACUGAGUAUCGUAAAGUUGGAGAGUCUUUUUUCUUUUGGUUCCGGUAAGUGAGUUAACAGUCGCUAGAGUUUGUGGUCGAAGGCAAUUGACGCCGAUCAAGGCGUAGGAACAACGACGAUCAGUAGCCCAGCGGUGGUGAGUGUUGGUGAGAGUUCGCUUGAAGUUGAGGUUGAUCCGGUUGUGGUUUGGGAAGAGAGCUCGGUCUAGGAGUCUUCGGGCAUGCAGACCAAGGAAGAAGGAGAAGAGAAGAAAGAAAAUGAAAAGAAAAGGAAUUAGAAAAAUUAAUUAUAAUAUUAAUAUAUAAAAAAAAGUAGAUUUCAAGCAAUAGCUUUUAAUUAAGUAUAUUAAUAAAGUUUAAUUGAUGUAUUUUUCAACCAUUAGGUCUAUCAAUAAAUUUUAAUCGAUGUAUUUCUCAACCAUUAAGUCUAUCAAUAAAGUUUAAUCGAUGUAUUUUUUAACCAUUAGGUCUAUCAAUAAAGUUUAAUCGAUGUAUUUUUUAACUAUUAGGUCUAUCAAUAAAGUUUAAUCGAUGUAUUUUUCAAUCAUUAGGGCUAUCGAUAAAGUUUAAUCGAUGUAUUACAUCUUCAGCUCUUCCCGUCGAACCAGGUAGGUCUUUGUUUGCAAUCGGUCUUUGUGUUAUUUUUUCAGUAUUGCUUAUACAUCGUGCGUCGACCUUAGGUCGAACCCAAGCCUCGAAACCAACCUAGGUUGCCGUUUUAGCUAGUGCAUACCAUAUCUUCGACAAAAUACCAUAUGUUGCCCUUUUUGUAUGAUUUUCAUGAAACAACUGAGUAUCGUCAAGUUGGAGAGAGUCUUUUUUCUUUUGGUUCCGGUAAGUGAGUUAACAGUCGCUAGAGUUUGUGGUCGAAGGCAAUUGACGCCGAUCAAGGCGUAGGAACAACGACGAUCAGUAGCCCAGCGGUGGUGAGUGUUGGUGAGAGUUCGCUUGAAGUUGAGGUUGAUCCGGUUGUGGUUUGGGAAGAGAGCUCGGUCUAGGAGUCUUCGGGCAUGCAGACCAAGGAAGAAGGAGAAGAGAAGAAAGAAAAUGAAAAGAAAAGGAAUUAGAAAAAUUAAUUAUAAUAUUAAUAUAUAAAAAAGUAGAUUUUAAGCAAUAGCUUUUAAUUAAGUAUAUUAAUAAAGUUUAAUUGAUGUAUUUUUCAACCAUUAGGUCUAUCAAUAAAUUUUAAUCGAUGUAUUUCUCAACCAUUAAGUCUAUCAAUAAAAUUUAAUCGAUGUAUUUUUUAACCAUUAAGUCUAUCAAUAAAUUUUAAUCGAUGUAUUUUUCAACCAUUAUGUCUAUCAAUAAAGUUUAAUCGAUGUAUUUUUCAACAAUUUCUAUCCAUAAAGUUUAAUCGAUGUAUUUUUCAAUCAUUAGGUCUAUCAAUAAAGUUUAAUCGAUGUAUUACAUCUUCAGCCCUUCCCGUCAAACUAGGUAGGUCUCUUUAACAAGUGUUUGCAAUUGGUCUUUGUGUUAUUUUUUCAAUAUUGCUUAUACAUCGUGUGUCGACCCUAGGUCGAACCCAAGCCUCGAAACCAACCUAGGUUGCCCUUUUAGCUAGUGCAUACCAUACGUUCGACAAAAUACCAUAUGUUGCCCUUUUUGUAUGAUUUUCAUGAAACAACUGAGUAUCGUUAAGUUGGAGAGAGUCUUUUAUCUUUUGGUUCCGGUAAGUGAGUUAAUAGUCGCUAGAGUUUGCGGUUUAUGGCAAUUGACGCCGAUCAAGGCGUAGGAAUAGCGGUGAUUAGUAGCCCAACGGUGGUGAGUGUUUGUGAGAGUUCCCUCGAAGUUGAGGUUGAUCCGGUUGUGGUUUGGGAAGAGAGCUCAGUCUAGGAGUCUUCGGGCAUGCAGAGACCAGGGAAGAAGGAGAAGAGAAGAAAGAAAAAGAAAAAGAAAAGAAACGGAAUUAAAAAAAUUAAUUAUAAUAUUAAUAUAUAAAAAAGUAGAUUUUAAGCAAUAGCUUUUAAUUAAGUAUAUUAAUAAAGUUUAAUUGAUGUAUUUUUUAACCAUUAGGUCUAUCAAUAAAUUUUAAUCGAUGUAUUUUUCAACCAUUAGGUCUAUCAAUAAAUUUUAAUCGAUGUAUUUUUCAACCAUUAGAUCUAUCAAUAAAUUUUAAUCGAUGUAUUUUUCAACCAUUAGAUCUAUCAAUAAAGUUUAAUCGAUAUAUUUUUCAAUCAUUAGGUCUAUCAAUAAAGUUUAGUCGGUGUACUUUUUAAUAAUUAACUCUCUUUUAAUCGAUGUAUUUUUCAAUAAAUGGAGAUCACGGGCUUUUCUCCUUUGAGCGGCAAGAUGUUCAUUCUCUGCAACAAUGACCUUACGUCCCUUUUGGCCGAACACCUCAGUUGAGCGAGCAUCGGCGAUGUGGUUUUCAGUCACUCUAGAACAAGAUCGCCUCUCUUGCUCUCUCUAGUUUUCCUCUGUGAUAUGGUUUUUUUAAAAGAUGCCCCUCCCUCUCCUCCUCUCGCCCUUUUCGAUUAGCUCACCCUUCUAGGACAGCGAGACUCACUCUCGUCACUCGUUGUUGAUGGGUGCGUUCUCAUUGGGAAAAUGUAAGGAGUUUAGGACUUUGCAUUUUGGUAAACUAUACUUUCAGAAGCAAUUUUGAGGGAAAUGCCGUUUGGUAUAAAAUACAUUUGAAAAACUCUUUGGGUGAUUAAAAUUUUAUUUAUUUAAAAUUGAAAAAAUAAUGCAUGCAACUUUUUAAAUAUAACUUUUGAUCAUAUAUAUAAUUUAAAAAAAAAAGACCAAAUCAUUCCUUGAAAUUUUUUAAUUUUUAUUUGUUUAAAAUUGAAAAAAAUAAUGUAUGGAGGUUUCUAAAUAUAAAAUUGAAAAUAAUGCUAAAAAUUCAAAUACAUACAUAUAUAAAUUUUUUUAAAAGACUAAACACUUCAUCAGAAUUUUUAAAUUUUUAAUUGUUUAAAAUUGAAAAAAAAUAAUGUAUGCAAAUUUUUAAAUAUAAAUAUUAACAAUAAUACUAAAAAAUUCGAAUACAUAUAUAUUUUUUUCUAAAAAAAGGCCAAACCCUUCAUUGGAAUUUUUUAAUUUUUUAAUUUGCUUAAGAUUGAAAAAAAUGAUGUAUGCAAAUUUUUAAAUAUAAAUGUUCACAGUAAUGUUAAAAAAAAUAAAAUACUUAUAUAUUUAAAAGAAAAGACCAAAUCCUGCGACGAAAUUUUAAAAUUUUUAUUUUUUAAAUUGAAAAAAUACUGUAUGCAACUUUUUAAAUAUAAAUUUGAAAAUAAUGCUAAAAAAUAAAAUACAUAUAUAUAUUUUAAAUAUCAAACCCUUCAUUAGAAUUUUUAAAUUUUAAUUGUUUAAAAUUAAAAAAAAAAUAAUGUAUGUAACCUUUUAGAUAUAAAUUUUGACAAUAAUACUAAUAAAAUCAAAUACACACACACACACACACACACACACACACACACACACACACACACACACAUAUAUAUAUAUAUAUAUAUAUAUAUAUAUAUAUAUAUUUAAAAAGAUCAAAUCCUUCAUCAAAAUUUUUUAAUUUUAUUUUUUUAAAUUUGAAAAAAUAAUGUAUGCGACUUUUUAAAUAUAAAAUUGAAAAUAAUGCUAAUAAAUUAAAUAUUUAUAUAAUUUGUUUUUAAAAAAAGACCAAACCCUUCGUCGAAAUUUUUUAAAUUUUAUUUGUUUAAAAUUGAAAAAAAAAUAAUGUAUGUAACUUUUUAAAUAUAAAUUUUGACAAUAAUGUUAAAAAAAUCAAAUAUAUAAAUAUAUAUUUUAAAUACCAAAAUAUAUUUAAUUUUUUUAGCAUUUAUAUAUAUUAUUUUUUUAAAUUAGAAUAAUAAUAACGAGGGCAAAAUCAGAAAUUUGAAGAAUGAGUCAGGAUAGUUUUGGAAAAAAAAAAAUAAGUUUUAGCAUUUGAUUAGAUACCGAAAACUCAAAUCUAAUUCCUAUUAGCAUUAGGCUUUCACUUUUUACUUUUUUUCUUUUCUUUUUUCCUUUUUUUCCCCUUUUUUUCUAUUCUUCUUCUUCUUCUUCUUCAUUUGGCCGGUCGCUGGACCGGCGACCAGCCAGGCGAGGGCGGCCUUCGUCGGCCGAGCCUCGCUGGUAGCUGGGCGAGGCUCGAGCCUCGCCCAGCCCCGUCGGUGGCCAGGCCGGCCUCGCCGGUGGCUGGGCUUGCCUCCGGCGAGAUCGCUGGACCUCGCCUUGGCCUGGCGAGCCUCCGGCGACCGGCGGUGGCGGGCGGCGGCGGACGGCGGCGGGCAGUGGCGGACGGCAACCGAGAUGACGAAAGGGAAGAGCGAGGGUUUCACUGUUUUGAUUAUUUUUCUGAUUCUCGGAGAGAGAAUCAAAUUUUUUUUUUUUAUUCUCAAAUCUUGUCCAAAAUUGUUCCUGGGAACAAAAAUUUUAUCAAACACGAUUCUUGUCCAAAACUGAUUCUAAGAACAAAAAAUCAGAAUCUGGCAUUGUUUGGCACGUUGCCAAACAAGCCCUUAUUGAGUCACAGGAGGAGAGGUUUUGCGGCCGGUCGGCUUGUCGCCUCAAAGAACCAAUAGAAGAGUCUUCCUAAGACCGUCGUCCACCGAGACAUAGCCAGAGUAGUGGCGGAAGCUCGCUAGAGGCUGGCUAGGGCAGGUAGCGAUGCGGUUGGCCUCUUGUAGCACCUCGGUUGUGGGCUCCAGUCAUUCUCAUGAGGGAGAGGAGGCAAACGCCGAGAGACAGAGGCACAAAGCUAAGGCCCAUUUUCUAAAGUGUUUUUUUUUUAAUGACAUGCAUACAACGUGGUUCUCAUCACAUUCUGUUUAUACUCGAAUAUGAAGGCUUCAAGUUGUUCAUCACCUCGCGAGUCAAUCGAGCGUAUGUACGGAUGGAAUUGACUUGUUCGAAAAUUAUUGUGAUUUCAAUCACGGAUGCGGACAUGAUGAACGGAAUUAGAGGUCUUUUCUAUUGUUGAAAUUGAAAGUUCGCUGCUUUCUUGUGAAAUUCAAGGCAAAAGAAAUUGGGGGUUGGGCUCUUUUCUUCUUCGAGGGAAUCCAAGAAACAUCCUCUCCAUCGAUGUAGUUCGGAAAAUGUAAAAAAGAUCCUUGGGUGGAGUCAAUGGUUUAUGAUCGAACUCUUGUUGAGCAGACUUUGGUACGUACGCAUCGAAUUCAUAUUGUUGCUAUAACAUAAUUUAUGCUUGUUUAAGGAUGGCCUACAUGUGCGUUGUCAUCUUAUCUUAUUCCUUUCCAUUCAUGAAUAGGUGCAACCGCACGUGCGACAUUUUCAGCAAAAAUCUAUGUCUUGAAAAAGAAAUUGAGAUUUGUCAUGACUUCCUUGAAGUGGGUUAGACUAACUAGGGUUUGAGUAAUGGAUUACUAAACCAAAACUUGGUUCGAACUAUCCAAACCCCAUACCAAUUAGGUUCAAAUUCUUAAUAUGCAAACCAUUUUCAUUUAGGAGUCCUCAUCAAUUAGUUUAUGGUGGGCCAAUUAGAAACCCAGUAUCGGGAGAAAUAUUUUAUUCCUAUGAACCAGAGAUUAUGGCUACGAAGACUUAAUUAUAUUAGAUUUCUCUAAUACCCUUUUGAUAUCGUUCUUUGUAUGAUUUUCAUACAUGUUUGGCAGUUGGCUUGGAUUUAUUUUAUUACUCACAUGUCCCUAACAUGUGAGGUGAAUAUGUCGGUGCGCAAACUAUCAAUCUAACACCCAAUAAAGUAAUAAAUAAAUUGUAGAACUUAACUUGUAAAAACGAAAUCAUCUACAAUAUUAGUUCAAAAUUCACAUCAAUAACCCUGGAUAUGAUUUCUUAUUAACAUGCAAUUACUCAAUUUUUUUAAAGACAUACAAGAAUGUGUCUAUACUAACAUGACAUGCGACAUACAAUUAAAUACACUACAUGCAAACUAUGGCAUGCAACAUUAGUUAAAUGACCUGAUCUAGUGAUGGACAAAUAUUAAAUGAAACUAUCUUAAUAUGUCACAUAUUUAAAUGAUCCUAAACAUGCAAUGACUAAAUGACAAAUGACAUAAUUCUAGAUAACACACCCACGACAAUUUUUUUAUGUUUUCUUUUCUUUUUCAAUUACAAUUCAAAAUUAAAAUGGUCCAAUGAUUAAACAAGCAAUUUUAAUUAAGGAAAAUGAAAUCUAACAUCCUAAAGCAUGUUUUUGGUAUUUUUUAAUUUAAAAUUUUGGAAUGAUUAAAUUACCUAAUCUAAUCAUGCAAUCUAGCCUAAAACUAGCAAUAUUCUACCGAGCACCAAAUCUAAUUCUAAGAUAAUUUUGUGGGUUUAAAAAAAAAUCAAAUAAUGGAUAGAUAUUUAAUUAGAUAAUGUUGUCCACAAUCUUGUGCAAUCUAUCUCAAUAAGGAUGCAAAAUAACCAUUAAGGAUAUUAAUGGAAGAUUAUCCAUUCAAAUUUGGAAACGGAUAAAUCAGUGAUUGUAUCCAAAUUGUAAUCAAUAAGAUAAAAGAUUUUCCGUUCCUGAAUAUCUAUCUCGUGAUUGGAAAUAGGAUGACUGUCCUAUGUUGUUAAGUUAGGAAACUUUCCUAACUUGAUGGGAUAUUUUAGGAUUUUGUGGAAAAUAGAUAUCUAAGAAUAUAUACUUAUUGCUAAAUGAAUGUAUUAAUCCAUUACAUAAUAUAUUGAAUCACUCAAAUAAGGCAGUAAAAUAAAUUGGGCAAAACGGUUAAAAAAAUGCACCAAAUAAAUUCUAAUUCUGACUCUUUCAACUUCUCACAAAGACUUCACUCUUUUACACCAACAUAAGAAAAUAACAUUACCAUCUUUUUUUGAAAAAUCCAAAUGAAAUAAGUUAUUUUCAACAGGAGACUUGUAUGAAGAUCCCCUUAAUUGGUGUCCGAGCAAUAUAUUUGAAUUGAUUUUUAUUUUAAUAUUUUUCUUGAUUUAAAUAUUACUCUUGCAUAAUUUAAUUUUUUAAUUGGAAAUAUCUAGACAAUUUAUUCAUUGAAUGAACUUAUUUUACAAAAAAUAAAUAAUUUAAAAUUUUAUUUUCAAAAUACAAUCGCUUGCAUUGCUAAAAAAAAUGAAUGAACUAUUACUAGUCACGAAAAUAUUCAAAUAUAAAUGAUCGUCAUUAACAAGAUUUGUUUAUGAAAAAUAUUUACAUAAAUUAUUAUAAACAACGAAAAUUUGUUUAUAAAGAUAGGUAGAUAUAAAUUAUUAUUGAUAAUGAGAACAUUUUUAAUAAUUUGAUUAUUUCAAAUGAUACCAAUGAUUUUGUUUUUAUGAUUUCCUCUUGAGGUCAUCACGUGAAUAUAAGUUUAAAUUCUAAUAUCCUCAUAAAUCACAUAUAGUUUUCGCACAGAAUUACCGCUCCUUUCUAAUUAUACGCAGGCGUGUCGAGAGAGAGAGAGAGAGAGAGAGAAGUGAUCGGAGACGGUGACGGAGGCGGCGGAGGGUGAAGCCACGAGAGGCGGCCGUUCGCAUGGCGACCGCUCGCCCCGCGUCAAGGUCGGAGAGGCUUGACUUCUUCGGCUCGCCCACGAGGAAGAGCCUCGCUUCGGGCCCGGGAUUCCGUGGAAAUUGUCCGUACGCUCGCUCGCUCUGACGUUCAUCUCUAUCUCUUUCCGUUUCGCGCUGCAGUUACUGUUUUUGAUCCCCGUUUUCCUCGUAUUCAUAGAUCUGUAGCUUUCGUUCUGUUGAUUUUUGGUCGCGUCCUGUGAAGUAGCUGCAGAUCGAGAGCGGGCAUUUCUUUUCGGCUUCUGCUGUUUGGAACUCGUGAUUUUGAGAACACUAUAUUGUAGAUUGACCGAGAAAAGACGCGAAAUUGCGGGGAUGUCACUCUUAAUUUGGUUUGGAGCUUUGGUACUGAGUUCAUAUAGUUCAUAGUGAAUGGCAAAUUGGAUAGAGUGGGGAAAGAAAAAAAGGGUGAAUGGGACGAUGCGGGUUAGCGUGAAGUAGCAGUAUUGAUUGCAGUAUUAGCUUAGUAUGUUUCUUUGGAGUAUUUAAAGUAGAGCAUGAGUAGUUGCUCGCUAGUCCCGUGUAGCUGGUCUUUCAUGAACUUAAAGUUGAAUUCUGCAAUUGAGUAUUUGCUUUAUGUGGCCAAUCGAGUAGGUGCUGGCGCUCAGGCUCCACACGGCAGUGUGCGACUAGCCGCUGCCGGUGGCAGCGACGGAGCGAGGGGCAGAGGGACAAAAUGGGGAUGAAGAGGAGGUGGCUAAGCGGGAAGGCGAACAGGCCAUUUUGGGCGCAUGGGGUAGAGUUGCUGGCGUGCUCGCUGUAACUGGCCUAAGGUGAGGUCCUUUUCUUGAUCCGUUUUGAUCCAGUUGAAAUAUCUAAAUAAGUUUUUAGCAAAUCAUUUCAAUUGGACAGAAGAAAAAUUAGUUGUAUGUUUUAAGUUGCGUAUACUUUGUAAAAUCAAACCAACUUACAGCAAUGAAAUUUUAAUCCAAUCUUUUUUGUUUUGUUUUAAUUUGCCAAUUUUUUCAGAUUUCAUUUUUAAAUUGGUUUUGGGCCUUUUCUUUUUUAUGGUAUUUGGUCCAUUUUCGUAUUUUCUUUCUCAAUGUUACAAAUUUUGAGGAGUCUGAAUAAUUUUAAAUUUUUGAGUAUUCUAAAAUCUUCGUUGCUUACUUUUCUUUCCAAGCAUAAUUUUGUCCGUAAGUGCCCUAUUAUAAAACUUGUCAUCAUAACCCAACCACAUUCAUAAUCCAAUCCCCUGAUCAAUCCACAUAGGUGGUCUUGUUCGUCAACAUGACACUCACCCAUGUCUCUACUUCGCUCAUCUACCUCACAAAAUCCUGGUUCACGCUAACUCAAGCUCUCUCAUUAAUUGGGCAAGCUAGUCCAAGAAGUCACCCGUUUUUUAGAGGUAACGAUGUAAAGAGAAAUCUUAAAACUCGGAUUGGGUUGGAUCAUUUUCGAACCAACCGAACUCACCCGUUUGAUGGGUCAAUUCACAAGUUACGUACAUUUGCAUGUAUUAUAAUAAACAAUUGGGAUAUUGGUUCCACCUGUUCCAAUUAUUUUAUUUUAUUUUUCAUGACUUCCUAUUUUUCUUGGCUUAAUUUAGGAUUAGAUUAGAAGAUUUAGCAUGCCCGAGAAGCACGAACAAAUCCCAGCAGGUGGGAUUUUUUGAAUACGAAGCUGAUGGAGAAGCACAUGAGAGGGAACGACUCGUCCCACGACGCCUGGCACGUGUUCAGGGUCAGGGACCUGGCCCUCUCCCUCGCCCGCGAGGAGGGCCUCGAUGCCCACCCGGGUUCUAUGGAAAUCGUCCGUAUGCUUACGCCUGAUCUCUCUCUCUCUCCCUCUCUCUUCCGUU
rnacentral:lncRNA from 1 species